UGAACGCUGGCGGCGUGCUUAACACAUGCAAGUCGAACGAUGAAGCCCAGCUUGCUGGGUGGAUUAGUGGCGAACGGGUGAGUAACACGUGAGUAACCUGCCCUUGACUCUGGGAUAAGCCUGGGAAACUGGGUCUAAUACUGGAUAUGACUUCUCAUCGCAUGGUGGGGGGUGGAAAGAUUUAUUGGUCUUGGAUGGACUCGCGGCCUAUCAGCUUGUUGGUGAGGUAAUGGCUCACCAAGGCGACGACGGGUAGCCGGCCUGAGAGGGUGACCGGCCACACUGGGACUGAGACACGGCCCAGACUCCUACGGGAGGCAGCAGUGGGGAAUAUUGCACAAUGGGCGCAAGCCUGAUGCAGCGACGCCGCGUGAGGGAUGACGGCCUUCGGGUUGUAAACCUCUUUCAGUAGGGAAGAAGCGAGAGUGACGGUACCUGCAGAAGAAGCGCCGGCUAACUACGUG
rnacentral:rRNA from 1 species